AUGGGCAUGCUGUGCGUGGUGACACGACCCGGGCGGGGCCCACGUGUGCUGUUGGGGAGCGCCAGGCGGGCCUCAGACAGAGGUCCUUGCUUGUGGCGGCUGCCACCGGCCGUCUGCAGUGCCAUGCCCCCCGGCCCGGCCCUGCACACGGGGCCCAUGUCCAAUGCCACCAGGAAACUCCGGGGGCGGAGCCCCCCCCCCCCCCCCCGCAGCAUCCCAUCACCCCCCCAGCCUUUUGGGGGGAGUAGCUGCCGCCUUCUGCUGUCUCCCCCGAGCCCGGGCGCAGGAAGGCCUCAUGCCCCUGGGCCACGGUGGAAUGUUCACGAACAGCAGCCCCAGCAAAGCAGGAUAAUGGCACCGCUGGGCAUCUGCAGAGCGCGGUCUGGGUGUUGCAGAGGCUGUGGGGCCCUGGGCGGCCCGCGAGGCUGCUCCUCCUCCGAAGCUCAGAUCCCCGUGGGGGAAGAAGGGAUACCUGCAAGGUCCAAGCCACCCGCGUGUGCCACGACUGUUGGGGUGCCCGUGCAGGAAAGGGGUGUCCAGACCAGUGGGGGCCAGCAGGAAGGGGGACCCGGCUUGUUUCACGACAUCCCAUGUUUGCAUUUCCGAGGCCAAGUCAGGGGACCAGGUCGGAAAGCCUGGCUCCCGGCCGGCCCGACCCCGAGCACUGCGGCUGCGGAAGAACCAACUGCCCCAGGCGCUCAGCCCCGAAUCCUCCGGGGGCCACGGGGACACGCCUCUGCCCGCUGGCCCUUGCCCUCCCCGCGCUCCAUCCCCCGGCUGGGCGGCGGCUGCACAGGCUGCUGUGCUGGGGAGCUAACGAUGGGGCGGGGGGGGGGGGAAGGCCUCCCCCGGGGUGCUCCCUCCGGGGCGCCCGCCUUCCCUGGGGACAGGCUCGCUGCAGCCGGUGGGGGGGCCGGGCCCAGGUGGGUGGCGGGUGCGAAGCCCCUGGGACCCUGGGUGCCGGGAGGGCAGGCCUCCGAGGGGGAGGGUCGUCCCCGGUGGGUUAAGGAGGCUGGAGCCGGGGUUUAG
rnacentral:lncRNA from 1 species